GAGGAUUUAGCUCAGUGGUAGAGCACUUGCCUAGCAAGCACAAGGCCCUGGGUUCGGUCCCUAGCUUCG
rnacentral:tRNA from 1 species